ensembl:lncRNA
GUAAUGUCCUCAACCCUGAUGAAUUAUCUUGCUGGGAUAUCAUCUCAGACUUGUGGACAGAUCUCUUUAACAAACAGACCAGGGGACAGGAGAAGGAUGAUGGGUGUGCUCAUUCUAACGGUCUGUCUGCUGGGAACAGCUUUGACUAGUUCAGUCCCUCAGUAUGAUGUCACGGAUGAGCUACCCCCACAGAGAGAGAUGUCUGAACAGGUCGUUCAGUAUGGUACCUUGGACCAGUUUCCCCUACAGAGAGAGAUUGUUCCUCAGGUGUCUCAGACGGACAUUCUGGAUCAGAUGAUCCCUCCACAACUCAACCCUCAGGUCCCUGUACUACCACAGUUGCCAGGGAACCAGGUAGACCACACCCCCCCCUGGAACUCCUCCUCCUCACCUCUACAGGUCUCUGACCUACCACAGUUGCCAGGGAACCAGACCACGAGUUCCUCUGAGUCCCAGAGCUCUGACCAGAGCCACUCAUCAGAGAGCUCUCCAGAGGACACAUCAGAAGACACGACCUCAGAGGACAGUCAGAGUCUCAGCAGUAGCAACAGUAGCAGUGACUCCCGUAGCAGUAGCAGUGACUCCCGUAGCAGCAGCAGUAGCAGUGACUCCCGUAGCAGCAGUAGUAUGCCUCAGGACAGGACUGGUGUUAACCUGGACGGAGACACACAGGAUGACAGCCAUGGUAGUGAGGAGAAUCAACGCAGAAAUUGGCUGGCUGCCUUCACCCAUUACCAGAGGAGGAGUCGCUUGACUGUGAUGGGUGGAGCGACAAGCGGGGUGGGGGCUGCUGGUGGGGUUAGGUGUCUCACAG